CUGUGUCUCGUCGGUGGAUGGUUGCUGGUAGUACCAUUGCCAGCCUAUCAGCAGUUGUACCACUGAUGUGACACGCC
ncrna:Capitella teleta microRNA cte-mir-1992 precursor